rnacentral:misc_RNA from 1 species
AUACUAUAUAUCCAUGAAAUCUGUGCAACACAUAUGUUAGGAGCCUAGAACUCUAUAACACAAGGAUAAUGGGGAAAAAAGAAAAGAUAAAAAAAGGAAACAAUUAACACAGAGAGACUUGACUUCAGGUUUCAGAGCAUGCUUUGCAGUUUAGCUACACUCAUUACAGCUCUUACAUAUAGCCAACUUCCUACUGUGUCCAAGAACUGAAAGUAGGCAUGUCUCCAAGGCCUGUAAAGCAAUAAACUGCAACA